GACGAACGCUGGCGGCGUGCCUAAUACAUGCAAGUUGAGCGCUGAAGGUUGGUACUUGUACCAACUGGAUGAGCAGCGCACGGGUGAGUAACGCGUGGGGAAUCUGCCUUUGAGCGGGGGACAACAUUUGGAAACGAAUGCUAAUACCGCAUAAAAACUUUAAACACAAGUUUUAAGUUUGAAAGAUGCAAUUGCAUCACUCAAAGAUGAUCCCGCGUUGUAUUAGCUAGUUGGUGAGGUAAAGGCUAACCAAGGCGAUGAUACAUAGCCGACCUGAGAGGGUGAUCGGCCAAGUUGGGACUGGGACACGGCCCAAACUCCUACGGGAGGCAGCAGUAGGGAAUCUUCGGCAAUGGACGAAAGUCUGACCGAGCAACGCCGCGUGAGUGAAGAAGGUUGUCGGAUCGUAAAACUCUGUUGGUAGAGAAGAACGUUGGGGAGAGUGGAAAGCUCAUCAAGUGACGGUAACUACACAGAAAGGGACGGCUAACUACGUG
rnacentral:rRNA from 1 species